rnacentral:rRNA from 1 species
UCGCGAAAACUUUGCAAUACACGAAAGUGUGACAGGGUCAUCCCGAGUGCCGACCGCUGAGGUUGGCUUUUACCCAGUCUAGAAAGCUGGGGGAAUAAGGAGAGGGCAAGUCUGGUGUCAGCCGCCGCGGUAAUACCAGCUCUCCGAGUGGUGUGGACGUUUAUUGGGCCUAAAGCAUCCGUAGCUGGCUGAACAAGUCCCCUGUUAAACCCACCGAUUUAAUCGUUGGUCUGCGGGGGAUACUGCUCGGCUAGGGGACGAGAGAGGCAGACGGUAUUCCCGGGGUAGGGGUGAAAUCCUAUAAUCCCGAGAAGACCACCAGUGGCGAAGGCUGUCUGCUAGAACGCGCCCGACGGUGAGGGAUGAAAGCUGGGGGAGCGAACCGG